rnacentral:rRNA from 1 species
UACCAGCACCCCGAGUGGUCGGGACGUUUAUUGGGCCUAAAGCAUCCGUAGCCGGUUCUACAAGUCUUCCGUUAAAUCCACCUGCUUAACAGAUCGGCUGCGGAAGAUACUAUGGAGCUAGGAGGCGGGAGAGGCAAGCGGUACUCGAUGGGUAGGGGUAAAAUCCGUUGAUCCAUUGAAGACCACCAGUGGCGAAGGCGGCUUGCCAGAACGCGCUCGACGGUGAGGGAUGAAAGCUGGGGGAGCAAACCGG